rnacentral:rRNA from 1 species
GAUGAACGCUGACAGAAUGCUUAACACAUGCAAGUCUUUGGCGAAGCUGUGCUUGCACAGCCUAGCCAAGGCGGACGGGUGAGUAAUGCGUAAGGGACUUGCCCUGCAGUCAGGGAUAACAGACGGAAACGACUGAUAAGACCUGGUAAAGUCAGGCGGACUCAUGUCCAGCCUGAUGAAAAGGAAUGCUGCAGGAGAGCCUUGCGUCCUAUUAGCUUGUUGGUGGGGUAACGGCCCACCAAGGCGAUGAUAGGUAGCCGGCCUGAGAGGGUGGACGGCCACAAGGGGACUGAGAUACGGCCCUUACUCCUACGGGAGGCAGCAGUGGGGAAUAUUGGACAAUGGGGGCAACCCUGAUCCAGCAAUUCUGUGUGCACGAUGAAGGUCUUCGGAUUGUAAAGUGCUUUCAGCAGGGAAGAAAAAAAUGACGGUACCUGCAGAAGAAGCGACGGCUAAAUACGUGCCAGCAGCCGCGGUAAUACGUAUGUCGCGAGCGUUAUCCGGAAUUAUUGGGCAUAAAGGGCAUCUAGGCGGCCGGAUAAGUCUGGGGUGAAAACUUGCGGCUCAACCGCAAGCCUGCCCUGGAAACUAUGCGGCUAGAGUACUGGAGAGGUGGACGGAACUGCACGAGUAGAGGUGAAAUUCGUAGAUAUGUGCAGGAAUGCCGAUGAUGAAGAUAGUUCACUGGACGGUAACUGACGCUGAAGUGCGAAAGCUAGGGGAGCAAACAGG